rnacentral:rRNA from 1 species
GUAGGUGGCAAGCGUUGUCCGGAAUUAUUGGGCGUAAAGCGCGCGCAGGCGGUUCUUUAAGUCUGAUGUGAAAGCCCACGGGCUCAACCGUGGAGGGUCAUUGGAAACUGGAGAACUUGAGUACAGAAGAGGAAAGCGGAAUUCCACGUGUAGCGGUGAAAUGCGUAGAGAUGUGGAGGAACACCAGUGGCGAAGGCGGCUUUCUGGUCUGUAACUGACGCUGAGGCGCGAAAGCGUGGGGAGCAAACAGGAUUAGAUACCCUGGUAGUCCACGCCGUAAACGAUGAGUGCUAAGUGUUAGGGGGUUUCCGCCCCUUAGUGCUGCAGCUAACGCAUUAAGCACUCCGCCUAGGGAGUACGGCCGCAAAGGCUG